GGUGCAUGGCAACCAGCCCACCUGGUUCUACGCAGGAACUGGCUCAAGUGUCAAAGGUUUCAACGCAGUCGAUGACAGCUCCCUUUGAAGCCUUCCUGGAAAUGUGAUGAAAUCUUCUGAGUCCAUAUUGCAAGAGAUCUCUGACUUUGAAACAAGCCCUUCUCGUUUUCAACGUGACACCGCAUUUACGUUUGAAACACAGCCAUAUCUAUACAGGAACUAAGGCAGUCCAGUACAGCAAAGCUGUUAACUGACCCAUCAAAGGAUCAUUCCCUCGGCCCAGGAAAAUGCUGAACUGUUUCCUCUGUAACCUUUUCUACUUCUCCUGGCUCAACUGUGUAUAUGUGAUCUCCCCUGUAACGAAACAUAAGCAGUGCAGAUAGGAAAUGCUCUGCAGAGAGGUGACCUUUCCUCUGAAAGGUAUAUACCUGUUCAAAGUUAUUUCAUGGAACAGACAUGCAAGACUCAGCUUAUGUUAAGCGAAACAAGACUAUCCUCUCUUAAUUCUGUUUCACUAUUAACAGCAAUCCAGUUUGACUUGGUUCAAAAAGUUUGAAAAUCCACCUGUUCCACAUCUGGUGUGCAUCUAGAAGGAUUUCAUGACAUUUUCAGCAUUGGAUUUUUUUGCUGUUGUUGGCUUCUUUUAAGCAGCUACAGUUAUGAAGCCUC
rnacentral:lncRNA from 1 species